rnacentral:lncRNA from 1 species
UCCACAAACACAAUCAACAGUAGGCUCUAAAGCUAUAUACUCAUCCCACAAGUUCUUAAGUUUAUGAUAAUAGAUUUCAACAGAUUUAUCUCCUUGUUAUAAAGUAUGACUAUCCUUUAAAAUUUGAUAAAUUAUGUGGCCAUUAAUGCCUGAAAACCUUUCAUUUAGUUCAUUCCAAACCUCAUAAGUUGAGUUCACAAAAUUCAUGCCAUCACUAAUAUCAUCAUUCACAGUAUUCAAAAUCUAGGUUAUUACCAUAUCAUUUACUCUUUCCCAUUGAGCAAACAAAGGAAAAUCCACAUCAGGUUUUGGAUAACUUCCAUUAACUAGAACAAAUUUAUUCCUAGCACUUAAGGCUAUUUACAUAGACCAUUUCCAAUGAGCAAAAUUAUCUGCUCCUGUGAACCAUUUAGAUAUCAAAACUAGCGUCGGGUGAUCAUUAUUGUGUAAGAAAAAAGGAUGAGUAUUCGAAUCUAUUGAAACAGAAUUAACAUCAUGACCUGCUUCUGUUUGAGUGUUGCUGCUUAAGCCUUGUCCAUGAUGUUGAUUAGUUGGAAUGUUUGACUGAACCAUAUUUGCAUAGCUCAAAUUCACCAUAGCUAUAGGAAAUGGAACUAGAUCUAGAAUCAAAUCUGAACAAGAGAGAAAAAAAGAAAACAGAAAUUUAGAUACAGAGAGAAUUUGAAUCAAAAACUUUGAAUGUUAUGUACUAAUCUUGUAGAAAAUCGUUAAUAGGUCAUGAUCUGCUUUGAUACCAUGUUAGGU